rnacentral:lncRNA from 1 species
GUUCUUUUGACAGCCGUGAGCUUCCCCGGCAGGAACUUACUGGGGCUGCAUCACCCUAGAAACAUGGCUUUGGGCUGUGGAAACGCUGCUGCCGUGGAAGUCUCUCCUCGCGGGGGUGGACGGGGCGCUGCGCGCCCAGCGUCCUUCUGCGGUUCUCCCAGCCCGUCGCCGCCUCCACCUCGGGGACCUUUGCGGGGAGGCCUCGGGUACCAGUCAGGACUGGUAGACUUUAAUGUGGAGAACUUCUGAAAUAGCAGUUCUCAAAAUGUUAUCUCCAGACACACAGAAUCUGCAUCACCCAGGAACUUGUAACCAUGCAAAUUCUCAGCCACCCAGACUUCCUACAUCAGAACCUCUGGGGCCCAGCAGCCUGUGUUUUAACAAGCCCUUCAGGCUGGAGUAUACUGGCAUGAUCAUAGAUCACUGCAGCCUCAAACUCCUGGGCUCAAGCGAUCCUCCUACCUCAGCCUCCAUAUAGCUGGUGGGAACCAAGUUUCUAACACAUGAAUGUUGGGAGACACAUUCAGACCAUCGCAGUGGCCUUAUAAAAAGAGACACAAGAGCUUGCUCUCUGCCAUGUGAGUAUACCACAAGAAGACUGUCCUCAGCAAAUCAGAAAGCGGGUGGACCCUCAUCAGACACCAGAUGUGCCUGCACCUUGAUCUUGGACUUGCCAGCCUUCAGAACAGUAAGAAAGAAAUGUGUGUUGUUUAAGCCACCCAGUCUAUGGUAACUUGCUAUAGCAGCCCACUAGGAGACCCCAAGAUAUUUAAAAACUCAUCAGCACCUGCUUUCUGCAUCUGGACCCUGAUCUUCUGGUGGGUUUACCAGUUACUUGUAGAGUGUCCCUGUGAUAGUUUUAGGUGUCAACUUGACAUGAUUGAGGGAUGCCUAGAUGGCUGGGGAAGCACUGUUUCUGAAAAGGACCAUGUUUUUGGAGGAGACUGUUUUAUGAGUGAAUUUUGGGGGACACAUUCAGAUCAUGGCAGUGGCAUUAUAAAGAGAGACACAAAAGCUUGCUCUCUCUGCCAUGUGAGACUACCACACAAAGACUGCCAUCUGCAAACCAGAAGCAGGUGGGCUUUCCUCAGACACCAGAUCUGCCUGCACCUUGAUCUUGGACUUGCCAGCCUUCAGAACUCUAAGAAAGAAAUAGUAGCAUGGCUUGGUCUAAGUUGGAAGGCCUGAGAAACAAGCACAUGGUGGAACUGAGUUCAAGGAUAAAGACUUGAGAAUACCUGCUCAGUGGACUGAGUAGGGAAGAUCAACCCUCAAUGUAGGCAAGCACUAUCCAAUCACCUGAGGGCCCAGAUGGAACAAAAAGGUGGAAGAAGGGUGAAUUCUCUCUUCCAGAGCUGUGACACCCUUCUCCUCAUGCCCUUGUACCACACAACUCUAGGUCCUUUGGCCUUUGGACUCUGACACUUGCACCAGUGGCCCUCUGGGGCUCUCAAGCCUUUAGCCUUGAACUUAGUUACACCAUGUGCUUCCUUGUUUCUCAGGCCUUCCAACUUGGAUCAGGCCAUGCCACCAGCUUCUCUGAUUCUCCAGCUUGCAGAUGGCAUAUUGUGACCCUGGCAUUUAAUAACUAUGACUUUGGUCUUAAGCAGUUUUCUUCCUCUGUGGAUUGAUAUUUAGAUAUCAAGGUGGAUAAUAAUUUCUUACCAAGGUAACUGUUGUGAGGUAAAAAUGAGUUAACAUAAGUAAAACCGAGCACAUGCAAACCAUCCGAAAUGGUUAAUACUUACUAUUUGUACUUGAAGAAAUAAAUGUUUUUGACAAUAAACUUCUUGUGCAGUUUUCCUCA